rnacentral:rRNA from 1 species
UACGGAGGAUCCAAGCGUUAUCCGGAAUUACUGGGCGUAAAGAGUUGCGUAGGUGGCAUUGUAAGUAAAUAGUGAAAGCGUUCGGCUCAACCGGAUAAACAUUAUUUAAACUGCAAAGCUAGAGGACAAGAGAGGUCACUGGAAUUCCCUGUGUAGGAGUGAAAUGCGUAGAUAUGCGGAGGAACAUCUGUGGCGAAGGCGGCCAUCUGGACCAGCACUGACACUGAGGCACGAAAGCGUGGGGAGCAAACAGG